AAAAUAAUCAAUAAUUUAUGGUGAGAAAAUGUCCAAAACGUCCAGUCGUUGAUUCCUUCUCGUUUGGUUGGACGGUGAUCCUGUGACACACACUUCGACAUAACGUCUCAACCAUCGCAUGUACUCCAAUAGAUUAUGAUUCUUUUUUGGCUUCUAAUCAAACCGGAAAUUAAUGUUUUUUUUACAAUACUCCAAUAAAGAAGAGAAAAAGGGUGAUGUAACGACCGCCUUUAAAACAGUUGAUUAGUGCUAGUGUGGUGUGGUUAAGCAGCUGAUCACAUGCAUAUGCAGCUGGGAAUAAUCAAUACAACACAUUGUUGGCUUGGCUCCAAAUGCAUGAAUGUAUGUUUGGAGAUCAUCUGGGUUAGCUCCAGCUACUGGAACA
rnacentral:lncRNA from 1 species